rnacentral:sRNA from 1 species
GCUGGGCGUAGUGGCUCACGCCUGUAAUCCUAGCAUUUUGGGAGGCCGAGGCAGGUGGAUCACCUGAGGUCAGGAGUUUGAGGUCAGCCUGGCCAACACGGUGAAACCCUGUCUCUA